UACGGAGGAUGCGAGCGUUAUCCGGAUUUAUUGGGUUUAAAGGGUGCGUAGGCGGAUCGUUAAGUCAGUGGUCAAAUUGAGGGGCUCAACCCCUUCCCGCCAUUGAAACUGGCGAUCUUGAGUGGAAGAGAAGUAUGCGGAAUGCGUGGUGUAGCGGUGAAAUGCAUAGAUAUCACGCAGAACCCCGAUUGCGAAGGCAGCAUGCCGGCUUCCUACUGACGCUGAAGCACGAAAGCGUGGGGAUCAAACAGG
rnacentral:rRNA from 1 species